UUUUAAAUUGGAUUUUGAAGACGUCGUAGUUGAGUAAAAGAUAGAUCAAGCUGAAGAACACACUCCUUUCUUCACUUUGAUUCAAGAUUUCUGGUCUUUUGGGUUGGAUUUCGAAUAUGUUGCAGUUGAAAGAAAGAUAGAUCAAGGUCGAAUUCGCUGAUAUUAUACUGGUGAUAAGUUAACUGUGAUAUUCGGAAGGAUAUUUUUG